rnacentral:rRNA from 1 species
GACGAACGCUGGCGGCGUGCUUAACACAUGCAAGUCGAACGGAAAGGCCCCUUUUUGGGUACUCGAGUGGCGAACGGGUGCGUAACACGUGAGUAACCUUCCCUUGCCUUCGGGAUAACUUCAGGAAACUGGGGCUAAUACCGGAUAGGAAUCCUUUCUUCAUGCUGGGGGUUGGAAAGCUUCGGCGGUUUUUGAUGGACUCGCGGCUUAUCAGCUUGUUGGUGGGGUAGUGGCUUACCAAGGCUUUGACGGGUAGCCGGCCUGCGAGGGCGACCGGCCACAUUGGGACUGAGAGACGGCCCAGAAUCCUACGGGAGGCAGCAGUGGGGAAUAUUGCACAAUGGGCGGAAGCCUGAUGCAGCAACGCCGCGUGCGGGAUGACGGCCUUCGGGUUGUAAACCGCUUUCAGAAGGGGCGAAGAUUUUGUGACGGUACCUGAAGAAGAAGCACCGGCUAACUACGUG